rnacentral:rRNA from 1 species
UUAAACUAAAAACAUUUUAAUAAAAGGUUCCCGAAGUAAGAAGAUCUAAUUUAUUUAUGCAGUUUAGCUCUAAUAUUAUAGUAAUGUAGCAAAAUUACUAUUAGAAAAUAAAUUAGGAGUGAAAGGCCAGUCAAUUCUUAAUGAUAACUGGAUUAAGCAUAAAUAUAUUAAGUAUAAUAAAAACAAAUGUAAAACACUAAGUUUUUACAUAUAGAAUAGUUUAUAAGCUUUUAGUUAAUCUAAGUUAUUAAUAUAAUUAUGAAUAUUAAAUAUAAACAUUAUUAUAUUACUAACUUUCUUUCAUUUGCUUAUAAUAUUUUACAAUUCUCAAAAUAUCAAAUAAUGUUUAAAUGAGUAUAUAAUAGUAAAAAUAUGAAAGGAACUCGGCAAAUAUAAUUUACAACUGUUUAUCAAAAACAUAGCUAGCUGUGCGCUUUAUAGUUAGUUUAUUCUGCCCAGUGAGAAAUUUUAACGGCCGCAGUACACUGACUGUGCUAAGGUAGCAUAAUCAAUUGGCUUUUAAUUGGAGUCGCGUAUGAAAGAAUUAAAUGUAAAAUAACUGUCUUCUAUUAUUUUUAAUAAAAGUUACUAAGAAAGUGCAAAUUCUUUCAAACAAUUUUAAUAGACGAGAAGACCCUAUAAAUUUAUAUAUUAAGGCUAAGUUAUUUUCUUGGUUACAUUUUUGUUGGGGCAACAGUUUAACAAAUUUUUAAGUGAAAUUUAAAUAAUAAUAUGUUUCUUAUGUAUCGAAUAAUAUUAGUGAUAAUUAAAUUACUAUAGGGAUAACAGCAUAAUUUAAUAAUUUAAGAUUGUGACCUCGAUGUUGGAUUAGGGUUCAGUUAAAUCAGUAAUUUAACUGUUAGGUUCUGUUCGAACUUUUUAUCCCU